AAAAACCAAACAAAACAAAAACACAACAACAACUUCCUAAACAAAACAACAAAAAUUCACUGUGCUGUUUUUAGUGUUGUUGCUGUAGUUUUAGUGUUGUUGCAGUAUUUGUUUUGUUGCAGUAGUUUUAGUUUUGUUGUAGUUUUAGUUUGUUUUGUUGCAGUAGUUUUAGUUUGUUUUGUUGCAGUAGUUUUAGUUUGUUUUGUUGCAGUAGUUUUAGUUUGUUUUGUUGCAUUUUAGUUUGUUUUGUUGCAGUAGUUUUAGUUUGUUUUGUUGCAGUAGUUUUAGUUUGUUUUGUUGCAGUAGUUUUAGUUUGUUUUGUUGCAGUAGUUUUAGUGUUGUUGCAGUAGUUUUAGUGUUGUUGCAGUAGUUUUAG
ensembl:lncRNA